UACGGGGGGUGCGAGCGUUGUCCGGAAUCACUGGGCGUAAAGGGCGCGUAGGUGGCCUGAUAAGGGUGUGGUGAAAGUCCGGGGCUCAACCCCGGAUCUGCCGUGCCGACUGUUAGGCUAGAGUACUGUAGGGGCAGGCGGAAUUCCGGGUGUAGCGGUGGAAUGCGUAGAGAUCCGGAAGAACACCGGUGGCGAAGGCGGCCUGCUGGGCAGUAGCUGACACUGAGGCGCGACAGCGUGGGGAGCAAACAGG
rnacentral:rRNA from 1 species